GAUGAACGCUAGCGGCAGGCCUAACACAUGCAAGUCGAGGGGUAGAAGGAGCUUGCUCCUUUGAGACCGGCGCACGGGUGCGUAACGCGUAUGCAAUCUACCUUGUACAGGGGAAUAGCCCAGAGAAAUUUGGAUUAAUGCCCCAUAGUAUAUAACCUUCGCAUGUUGGUUAUAUUAAAGUUCCAACGGUACAAGAUGAGCAUGCGUCCCAUUAGUUAGUUGGUAAGGUAACGGCUUACCAAGACGAUGAUGGGUAGGGGUCCUGAGAGGGAGAUCCCCCACACUGGUACUGGGACACGGGCCAGACUCCUACGGGAGGCAGCAGUGAGGAAUAUUGGUCAAUGGUCGCAAGACUGAACCAGCCAUGCCGCGUGCAGGAAGACGGUCCUAUGGAUUGUAAACUGCUUUUAUACAGGAAGAAACCCUCCCACGUGUGGGAGCUUGACGGUACUGUAGGAAUAAGGAUCGGCUAACUCCGUG
rnacentral:rRNA from 1 species